rnacentral:rRNA from 1 species
CAGUAGCCACGGUAAUACGUAGGUGGCAAGCGUUGUCCGGAAUUAUUGGGCGUAAAGCGCGCGCAGGUGGUUUAAUAAGUCUGAUGUGAAAGCCCACGGCUCAACCGUGGAGGGUCAUUGGAAACUGUUAAACUUGAGUGCAGGAGAGAAAAGUGGAAUUCCUAGUGUAGCGGUGAAAUGCGUGGAGAUUAGGAGGAACACCAGUGGCGUAGGCGGCUUUUUGGCCUGUAACUGACACUGAGGCGCGAAAGCGUGGGGAGCAAACAGGAUUAGAUACCCCUGUAGUCCCUGUCUCUUAUAC